UUACCAGGAGAAACAGUUGGAGACAAAGCCAACUGCUGGCUGGACCCUGGUUACCUGGUUGUGUUUCUGACAUUGGAUCAUUUACAACUUCAAGGACUUCUGGGACCAUAUCUUUCUUUUCACAGUCUUUAAGUCUUUAAACAGCUAAGGCUGCUGAGGAGUUAGGCACUACAGGACCCAAAGUGGAGAGUUUUCAGAAACCAAUGGCAGUCUUUCAAUUUGCCUACCACUGCCCAAUGUGGGGGAGUCAUAGUGGCCUUGGAGUUGUCACUUACUAAAUGAUUUGUGUACUCUCAUACUUAAUGAGAAAAUGUGGUCAUUUGAUAAAAUACAAGAUUUCCAAGUAUUCCUGUGGAACAGAUCCAACCUAAACAGAAAAGCUGAUGUCCAAAUACAAAAUUCAAGAGAAGUAUAAAAGGAGUGGUGACCACAAGAGCAUUGUCUUCGUUGUCCUGAUUAAAGAUCUGAUCUUUAGUCAAAUCUUUAGUGUUCUGUCUGGGGCCCAACUUUCUCCUGGAAGAAAGAUCAAAGAAAUGGAAAAAUAAAUCCAGAAAUUUCUAGAAGAAAAUAAUGUAUUAAGAACUAGAACUGGAUAAGGGAGAAGCUAAUGAGUUCCUAAGCCAACAGGGAAUAAUAAAGCAACAGCAAAAUAAUGAAAAAAUGGAAGAGAAUAUGAUAGAACUUAUCACAAAAAUAAUUGCCCUGCAGCAUAGCAGUACCAGAUCUUAAAUUGUAUUAUAAAGCAAUGGUCAUCAAAACGAUAUGGCACUGGCUAAGAGACAGAAAGGAGUAUCAAUGGAAUAGACUUGAGGAACUGAGCUACUCGCAGCCCGCCCCCUGAAAGACCAAGAGUGUCUCACAAACAGUCUUGGGAGAAUAUGGAUCAAGGGUUUCAAGGGUCUAAGAGAGUCAUUUGGAAGCACCUUGUUUUUCCUGCACAGAAGGAUGAGAAGUAACUCAGGGCUGAGAGGUGACUGAGAACAGUUGGAUAGCCAUUACUUGCUUCUUCUUGGGAGACCAGGCCUUUCCUUAACCACCAUGUGACAUUGGCUUAAGUGGGAAGUGGAACACUGAAGAGAGCAAUCCUGGAAAGCAACUCCCUUAAUCAUGAGAAAUUUUCAAAACCUAUUAAGGGCAAAGAUCUCAACAGCUCACAGCAUGUAUUGUAUACUGAAAACAUUUUUGCCUUUCUAGGCAAGAUCAGCAAAGGAGCUCCCAGUCAACAUGCUGUUGGAAACAUUAGCCUGCUGGUAUUUUUAUUCCUAAGUGGGGAGGAAAAGGGAGUAAACUCUUCCAAACCUCUUGGUUGAAUUCAGGCUAUAUCCUUAAAGUAUCUUUUUUUUUCACCUAAAAGAAAGUGUGUUUUCUUUUGCCUAAAAUAGAAAGUUAUUUUCUUUU